rnacentral:rRNA from 1 species
AGCGGAUGAAGGUAGCUUGCUACCGGAUUCAGCGGCGGACGGGUGAGUAAUGCUUAGGAAUCUGCCUAUUAGUGGGGGACAACGUUCCGAAAGGAGCGCUAAUACCGCAUACGUCCUACGGGAGAAAGCAGGGGACCUUUGGGCCUUGCGCUAAUAGAUGAGCCUAAGUCGGAUUAGCUAGUUGGUAGGGUAAAGGCCUACCAAGGCGACGAUCUGUAGCGGGUCUGAGAGGAUGAUCCGCCACACUGGGACUGAGACACGGCCCAGACUCCUACGGGAGGCAGCAGUGGGGAAUAUUGGACAAUGGGGGGAACCCUGAUCCAGCCAUGCCGCGUGUGUGAAGAAGGCCUUUUGGUUGUAAAGCACUUUAAGCGAGGAGGAGGCUACCUAGAUUAAUACUUUAGGAUAGUGGACGUUACUCGCAGAAUAAGCACCGGCUAACUCUGUGCCAGCAGCCGCGGUAAUACAGAGGGUGCGAGCGUUAAUCGGAUUUACUGGGCGUAAAGCGUGCGUAGGCGGCCAAUUAAGUCAAAUGUGAAAUCCCCGAGCUUAACUUGGGAAUUGCAUUCGAUACUGGUUGGCUAGAGUAUGGGAGAGGAUGGUAGAAUUCCAGGUGUAGCGGUGAAAUGCGUAGAGAUCUGGAGGAAUACCGAUGGCGAAGGCAGCCAUCUGGCCUAAUACUGACGCUGAGGUACGAAAGCAUGGGGAGCAAACAGGAUUAGAUACCCUGGUAGUCCAUGCCGUAAACGAUGUCUACUAGCCGUUGGGGCCCUUGAGGCUUUAGUGGCGCAGCUAACGCGAUAAGUAGACCGCCUGGGGAGUACGGUCGCAAGACUAAAACUCAAAUGAAUUGACGGGGGCCCGCACAAGCGGUGGAGCAUGUGGUUUAAUUCGAUGCAACGCGAAGAACCUUACCUGGCCUUGACAUACAGAGAACUUCCAG